GGUGUGCUAAUACCGCAUAAUCUCUCAGGAGAAAAGCAGGGGAUCGCAAGACCUUGCGCUUUAGGAGCGGCCGAUGCCUGAUUAGCUUGUUGGUAAGGUAAAAGCUUACCAAGGCUUCGAUCAGUAGCUGGUCUGAGAGGACGACCAGCCACACUGGGACUGAGACACGGCCCAGACUCCUACGGGAGGCAGCAGUGGGGAAUUUUGGACAAUGGGGGAAACCCUGAUCCAGCCAUGCCGCGUGAGUGAAGAAGGCCUUCGGGUUGUAAAGCUCUUUCAGCCGGAACGAAACGGUUACGAUUAAUACUCGUAAUUAAUGACGGUACCGGCAGAAGAAGCACCGGCUAACCACGUGCCAGCAGCCGCGGUAAUACGUAGGGUGCGAGCGUUAAUCGGAAUUACUGGGCGUAAAGGGUCCGCAGGUUGUUUUGUAAGUCAGAUGUGAAAGCCCCGGGCUUAACCUGGGAACUGCGUCUGAAACUACAAGGCUAGAGUAUGGCAGAGGGGGGUGGAAUUCCGCGUGUAGCAGUGAAAUGCGUAGAUAUGUGGAGGAACACCGAUGGCGAAGGCAGCCCCCUGGGUCAAUACUGACGCUGAGGGACGAAAGCAUGGGGAGCAAACAGGAUUAGAUACCCUGGUAGUCCAUGCCCUAAACGAUGUCAACUAGUUGUCGGGCCUUUACGGGCUUGGUAACGUAGCUAACGCGUGAAGUUGACCGCCUGGGGAGUACGAUCGCAAGAUUAAAACUCAAAUGAAUUGACGGGGACCCGCACAAGCGGUGGAUUAUGUGGAUUAAUUCGAUGCAACGCGAAAAACCUUACCUACCCUUGACAUGUAUCGAAGCCCGCAGAAAAGCGGAGGUGCCCGAAAGGGAACGAUAACACAGGUGCUGCAUGGCUGUCGUCAGCUCGUGUCGUGAGAUGUUGGGUUAAGUCCCGCAACGAGCGCAACCCUUGUCAUUAAUUGCCAUCAUUUAGUUGGGCACUUUAAUGAGACUGCCGGUGACAAACCGGAGGAAGGUGGGGAUGACGUCAAGUCC
rnacentral:rRNA from 1 species